rnacentral:lncRNA from 1 species
CUAGAUAAACUUAGGGCAGAAUAUAGGAUCCCUGAUAACAUAGAUCUUAUAUUGCCGGAGCCCGAUAAACGAGCUUGUUACCUUAGGCCAGGGUGUGUGGCUGUGAGCUAGGCGCUUUUCAGGGCUGGUCUUAAGCUACCUAUCCAUCAUUUCUUCCGAUACGCUCUUAGGUCACAUGGGUUAGCUCUGACCCAAUUAAACCCAAACUCCUAGAACCAGAUGGUAGGCUCCUGGAUGUUGUGGAAAGAGGCGUCUCUUGGGAUGGAGAUGCCCUUUUCAGUCUUCCAGACCCUGUACAACCCCAAAGUGGCGGCUGGGGGGACAAGACUAAGGGGUGGCAUUAUUUAACCUCCUGGGGGGCCCAUACUCCAUUCGUCCUAGACCUGCCGAGCUCAAUAAAGGACUGGAAGACGUCGUGGUACUGGGCAUCCGGAAGGUGGGACACAAUAGAGGGGGACCCCCUGGCGCUUCUCAUAGUUCCAAAUAUGUAUUCAUCACUUAGUGAAUGCUGAUGCAUUGUGUUUAAAUUUGUUUUGAGCUUCAGUUCGAUUCCUAACCUUUUUUUGUUUUUUGCAGGCACUCUUCCUCGAUGUGAGAUAUCCACUGAGGACUUUGACAUAAUUUGCAUCGUCUAUCAGCUUCCACCGAAGAGGAGAUCUUAUCACGAGCUGAUUAAGAAGAACAUACACUUCGUUACGCACGAUCUAAUUGCUUCCCAAGGUGAGUAUUUGGAGUAACUUUAUUGUAGUGGGUUUCCGAACUCUAUAUACUUGUACUAAUUUUCUCAUUUCUCUGUAGAUGAUUUCAACAAGAAGAGGUCCUUUAGGCCUGAUUUUAAGACCAUCCAAAAAAUGAUGGCCGAGACAAGAGCCUUGAAGACCUCCUCCUCUACUUAUAAGAAGCAGACGAAGGACUGCAAACAAGAGGCUUCAACCACCGAUAGAGGAGGAAGCAAAAGACCCUGAGGCAAACUUGUUGAGGAAGGGUAAUAAAGCUGUUGGCUCCUUGAAGGGGCCAACCAUGGCGAGGCUCUGAGGCAAACCACAAUACCUACUGGGGUGGCCAUUCGGGAAAAGACUGCUCCCCAAUCCGAGGCUGUCCCUGUUGCUACUGCUACCCCGAUCGAAUCCUCAUUUUUUACUGUGCCAAUUUUCCAACUGUUGGGGCAACAGAGGAGGAAGAGGGCUUGCCCCGCGAAGGAGGUAGAUUUUCUAGGCGUCAACAUUGACGAGCUCGUAAAGGAGGUGUUGGAAGCCCUGCCUCCAGAGACGGCUACAGUGGCGGUGGUCCACCAUAAAUACUGGACCGAAGAGAGGGGGACCACACCGCGUCCUGCACUACAGAGGACCUUGUUGUGGCUAACAGUGCAUACAUCGCCCAGGCUCUUAGUACAAGUGUACAACUUGAGGGUUUAGUAAAGGACCUCAAUGCUAGGAGUGAGGACCUGACCAAGUGUCUGGAGGAGGCGAUGCACUUCAGGGAUGCAGUGCGGGCUGCCCAAGCAAAGGCCUCGGAGGCGAAGGAUCGACUGGUCAAAGCUAAUGAGGAGACAGAGAGGUUGAAGAAGGAGCUCUAUGAAGUGGAGUGCUAGGUGGCUGCUAUGACAAGGAGAGUCGAUCAUGCCAAUGAGUACCACUGGCUCGCCACUGAGGCUCUGGAGGCCUCCAACAAAGAGAAGGCCAAGUUGAGGCAACGGGUAGAGGCCUAGGCUGAAGAGAUCAAAUCUUUGAAGAUCGAGGUGAAGGCGACGGGAGAGUCAGCAGUGUGGAACUUUAUCGAUCACUUCGAAGAACACCCACUGUAUGACGACUUCGCCAACUUCUGGGUCUUGUGGAAUGUCUAGACAAUGUUGGAUCGUCUAAGGUAGUUCCACCCAACUCUGGAUCUAACUUCCCUGGAAGCGGAGUUCGAUGGGCCUAUUGGAGGUAGACCUGAUAGGGCCGCUGAGGAAGCUACUAAAGCCCCCCAAGAGGCUGAAUCGGAGGCUGGAGCUGAAGAUGCCCUUUUAGUAGAAUAGGAAUAUUUUGUAAUGGCUUUAGCCCACCUCUUGUAAUUUACUUUAAUGUUAAUGAAAUUAAAAAUUUUUCAA